UCAGACACCCCCCAGGCCUCCCGAGAUGUGGGUCCGCUGGUGUGGGGGGCCGUGGGGGGAACAUUGCUGGUGCUACUCCUGGCUGGGGGGUUCCUGGCCUUGAUCCUGCUGAGGGGGAGGAGGAGGCGGAAGAGCCCUGGAGGAGGAGGAAGUGAUGGCGACAGAGGAUCCUACGAUCCAAAGACUCAGGUGUUUGGGAACGGGGGUCCUGUCUUCUGGAGGUCAGCGUCCCCUGAGCCCAUGAGGCCAGAUGGCAGGGAGGAAGAAGAUGAGGAAGAGGAAGAAAUGAAGGCAGAGGAAGGCCUCAUGCUACCUCCACACGAGUCACCUAAGGACGACAUGGAGUCCCAUCUGGAUGGCUCCCUCAUCUCUCGGCGGGCAGUUUACGUGUGACCCCACAACAUAGACACUGGACACAUAGAAACGCCAAGUCCCACCCCCCCACUGCCAACCACACCAAUGCCAGUCAGCAACAAUGGCUAGGGACCGGUUGGACUGGUUCUUCUGGGGCACACUGGAGUUGGAAGGGCACCGCCCCUGCUUUCAGGAUAGAGGACAAGUGGAACCACACACCAGACUCCUAUCUCUAGGGCCUCGUGGAGAAGGGGACCCCAGGAGCACCAUGGUGCACACUCAGGACUCCUCAGAGCUUGCUUUCGGCCCCAGCCUAACCCUGGCCCCGAAACACUCAGGAGCUAAUAAAUGCCUUGUCGGAAAAA
rnacentral:lncRNA from 1 species